UACAGAGGUCUCAAGCGUUGUUCGGAUUCAUUGGGCGUAAAGGGUGCGUAGGCGGCGGGGUAAGUCUGGUGUGAAAUCUCGGAGCUCAACUCCGAAAUUGCACUGGAUACUGCUCUGCUAGAGGGCUGGAGAGGAGAUCGGAAUUCCCGGUGUAGUGGUGAAAUGCGUAGAUAUCGAGAGGAACACCAGUGGCGAAGGCGGCUCACUGGGCUCCACCUGACGCUGAGGCGCGAAAGCGUGGGGAGCGAACCGG
rnacentral:rRNA from 1 species